rnacentral:tRNA from 1 species
AGGGAUUUAGCUCAGUGGUAUGAGCACCUGCCUGGCAAGCACAAGGUCAAGUUCAAUCCCUA